rnacentral:lncRNA from 1 species
GUUUGGAAGGACGGCUCGAAGAACUGUUUGAAGCGAACGUCGGUGUAGCGUUUGCUCGAGUAAACGUUUGUUUGGAACGCAAAGACACGGGAGGCGGGUUGGGUUUCAUCUAAGUUU